GACCUGCACGAAUGGCGUAAUGAUGGCCAGGCUGUCUCCACCCGAGACUCAGUGAAAUUGAACUCGCUGUGAAGAUGCAGUGUACCCGCGGCAAGACGGAAAGACCCCGUGAACCUUUACUAUAGCUUGACACUGAACAUUGAGCCUUGAUGUGUAGGAUAGGUGGGAGGCUUUGAAGUGUGGACGCCAGUCUGCAUGGAGCCGACCUUGAAAUACCACCCUUUAAUGUUUGAUGUUCUAACGUGGACCCGUGAUCCGGGUUGCGGACAGUGUCUGGUGGGUAGUUUGACUGGGGCGGUCUCCUCCUAAAGAGUAACGGAGGAGCACGAAGGUUGGCUAAUCCUGGUCGGACAUCAGGAGGUUAGUGCAAUGGCAUAAGCCAGCUUGACUGCGAGCGUGACGGCGCGAGCAGGUGCGAAAGCAGGUCAUAGUGAUCCGGUGGUUCUGAAUGGAAGGGCCAUCGCUCAACGGAUAAAAGGUACUCCGGGGAUAACAGGCUGAUACCGCCCAAGAGUUCAUAUCGACGGCGGUGUUUGGCACCUCGAUGUCGGCUCAUCACAUCCUGGGGCUGAAGUAGGUCCCAAGGGUAUGGCUGUUCGCCAUUUAAAGUGGUACGCGAGCUGGGUUUAGAACGUCGUGAGACAGUUCGGUCCCUAUCUGCCGUGGGCGCUGGAGAACUGAGGGGGGCUGCUCCUAGUACGAGAGGACCGGAGUGGACGCAUCACUGGUGUUCGGGUUGUCAUGCCAAUGGCACU
rnacentral:rRNA from 1 species